CAGUUGGUAGUUUAAAAAAAAUGUUAAUUUUGGAGAUUAAUGAUGUGACACUUCACCUUACUGA
rnacentral:tRNA from 1 species